UUGCUGUGAUGACUAUCUUAGGACACCUUUGGAAUAACCGUGAAAGGAAACUAUUCUGAGCAAC
ensembl:snoRNA SNORD58 Small nucleolar RNA SNORD58